CCUCUCUGGUUCGUGUUAAAAAUCUGUGAAAGAAACUCUUGUUCACUUUCACAUUCAUUCGAGAGAUUCUGAGCUCUGAAGACACUCAGACAUCUGAUCAACAGCUCAUUGCUCACAAGUUGCAGGGGUUCAUGAAGGAGGAGGAGGCUGAAGAGACAGGUUACUGGGAUCCACAGCACAACCGGUGGGGUUACACCAUUCAGGAACAGGUACACGAGUGGACAGCUGUUUGAACCGAUGCUCAGUAUUACACGGACAUUAGUAUCAUGAUGUUUGUGGCAACAUGAGUGAGACAUGUUGUUCAGCAUUUUCAAUGUGUUUUACAGUAACAUGACAUCCUUGUUUUAUUUUGCCAGUGAAUGCAGUCUUAGUGCCAUAUGUUUCCUACUUUACCAUCAGGCCACUUUCCCCAUAUUUUUAUUUGUUGCAGGGAAAACAACCGGCUGUAUAUGGAGAUGCUGCACAAUGCACGUGUUCACCUUGACUGUCAGACGGGUCGAUACAGAUAAAAAACAAAAUGAUGAAAACUGAGGAGAUCAGAAAUCAUAUUGUAGACACAAAUAAUACAGUGAUUCCUAUUGGUUAAAGCUCACACAUUUAUUCCAAUGUGAUUCAGGAAUACAUUUGAAGAUCUUCUGUAUCUGUAUCUGUGUGGACAUUAGAGUUUAACAUGGUUAUGGUUAAAAGGGUGCAAAAGAAGAAAUACUUGGUUCUUCCACAUGUUACAGCUACACUUCUGUUGUCCAUUUUAAUAGAUAAGGUAAGCAGAAAUGUAAUAUCCCAUUAAAAGUUCAACUGAAAACCCUUCAUAUAAAAUGCUGUAGUUUUAGUGUAUGGAUGAUUUUAGAACAAUGAUGCCAGCAAUCAUAGUUAUUAUUCAAGGAAAGAAAUAAUUAAAACAAAGUAAAUGGUGCUUUUUUUAUUGUUGCAAAAAAUCUUUAUUCCUCUGGAAUUAUCUUGUCACUAAUAAAGUGAAUAAAAUCACUGCAUGCAAUUCUUGAAAAUAUGUUGAACAAUGAAUUAGUAUUAAACAAAUAAAAAAAGAAUAUAAGAAGAAUCUUUAUCUUGCAUUUCAUAUCCAUCCUUAGCAAAUCUUGCAUUUUGUGCUUUUGGAAAUGAGAUUUAAUGCAAAUGGAGGAAACAAUUAUUUAUUUGCUAAAGUUCUGGGGGAGAAAAAUAAUUAUGUUUGUGUUUUCUAUUCUGUGUUUUUCAGAUGUGUUCUACAUCUCUGUGGUUUACCACUAGGUGGUGCAAUCCCUUCAAUCAUUUCCUCUUUAUUUAUUUUAGUACUUUGCUUUUCUUGUUCCUUAGUUAUCUGUGACAUGUGUGACUGGAUUGUUUAUUUUUUUAACCGAACACUGUGUAUUAUAUUAUGUACAACUUUAAUUAUCAAUGAAUAGAGCAAAUGUAUUCAUGGCAUUAAUUAUGAAAAAUAAAGCAUAAUGUACUUAAAAAUAACUUUAUUAGUGCAAUAAAGAAUAUCUGAACAAUAAAAAUACUGUACCUUU